GCCCACGUCGCAUAGUGGUAUUGCAGCGGAUUGCUAAUAAAGCGACUUCCCUUCGGGUUGAGGUCCACCUCGCUUCGGCGAAUAAAGGUUUUGUCUUUCCCCAUGCCGGUUUAGGCCAGCUUCGGGUUGAGAGACAUUGCAGUUCUUUAUGAACAGCAAAUAUCCGCGCCCUUCGGGGCUCGCAGGUUCGAUUCCUGCCGUGGGCG
rnacentral:tRNA from 1 species